UACGGAGGGAGCUAGCGUUGUUCGGAAUUACUGGGCGUAAAGCGCACGUAGGCGGCUUUGUAAGUUAGAGGUGAAAGCCCGGAGCUCAACUCCGGAAUUGCCUUUAAGACUGCAUCGCUCGAAUCCAGGAGAGGUGAGUGGAAUUCCGAGUGUAGAGGUGAAAUUCGUAGAUAUUCGCAAGAACACCAGUGGCGAAGGCGUCUCACUGGCCCGUUACUGACGCUGAGGCACGAAAUCGUGGGGAGCAAACAGG
rnacentral:rRNA from 1 species